rnacentral:lncRNA from 1 species
UGAAAGGAGAAGCAGACCAGUCAUCAGUCGAACAUUUUCAGAGCUUAUAGGAGCUUAAGGAGAAGGAUUGGGAUCACAAAGAGAAGCAAAGCAAUCAGAUACUUGAAAGUCUCUUUAGUGACUUAAGUGUCAGAAGUUUUCUCUCUCUUAACUCUCUCAAAUCUUUUAGAGAGAAAAAACUUUGAAUCUUGUUCAUAUCUUUUGCUAAUCCGAUUAACAUCGGAUCUCUUUAGAUUUCGUUUUAUGUUUUAGCUUUCUGACUAUUUUUCAGAUCUAUCUCAAACUUCUUGUCGGUUUUUCUUCUAUACUUUGUUUCGAUUUGUAGUUUUUUUGUAAAGCCUUUUGCCUGUUCUUCAAAUCAACACUUCUAUGUUGUUGAAGUGUUAAAUCAUUGUGGUUUGAUGGGUCUUUGUUAGCUGUGUACUUGAUUCUUCGUCCAAUUGUUGGUAAAUCCUCGCUUGCCCAUAUGGGAUUAAAUUAAGCGAUUGUUCACUUUGGUCGUUUGAUUUCAAGUGGUUGUAGUUGAUUGAAUUGGAGUAUGUAGAUUUGGAGUCCCUGUCGUGUUUGAUAGUUUCUCUGAAGACUGCUUCGAUUUUUAGCGGUUAAAGAAGAAAUCCGAUGAGCAAAGUAAAUCAAGUCAAUUACUUCCAAUGUUCAUUGCAAAAGGCGAUUGGUAAAAAGAAAGGCUUAAUCUGGUAGAAGCUGUUCGAAGAUGAUGAAGAACUGGAAGGUAAAGAAAUAUGCCGGUGACUGGAAGUAAUUCCCCGACGACAAUGGAGUUAAUGAAGAAACAACUUUUCUCCAGACCUGCCACGUGCCCGUGUUUAUCUUUUGUUAAGACAUGUGUCUAUGAGCUGUAUUGAUAUAAGCUUUAAUCUGUGUCUUUGGUUUAUAUUAAAUAUUUAAAUGGGUCUUGUACUUUAUGUGUAAUGCCCUUUGGGCUCUUUAAUGAAAUGAAGUUUGACGAAAAAAAAAAAAAAA